UCACUUUUCUAAGUACUAGUGCCGCAGGAUAUGGUUGCUAUGAUAAAAGCUCCUGCUGCCCAAGUGCUUAUCAAAGAGA
rfam:Musca domestica strain aabys unplaced genomic scaffold Scaffold332, whole genome shotgun sequence.